CCAAGUCCGGAAGGGAUAAGUGCUGAAAGCAUCUAAGCACGAAGCCCCCCUUAAGAUAAGAUAUCUCAUCCCUUUAAGGGAGUAAGGCCACUGAUAGACGAUCAGGUGAUAGGCUGGAGGUGAAAGCACAGCAAUGUGUUCAGCUGACCAGUACUAAUCGGCCGAGGUCUUGAUCCAAAA
rnacentral:rRNA from 1 species